CUAGUUGGACUGCAAACUCCAACUUGGUAUGGUUGAUGACAAAUUACCCAUGCUGCAGAAGCCAAUGAAAGUGCCAUUUCUGCCACAAAAAUUCACCAUGAAGUAAUCUGCACAGUUUCUGCUACCUCCAGAGGAACCUGAGCUCCAAGAGCUGAAGCUGCUCGAUUCAAGGGAAACAGAUGAAGUAGUUAAAAGAUUCCUCAUCACAUUACUACACCUGUCUUUGCAAGAGGAGAUUCAAAGGGUCUGACAGGGAAGCUUCCCUGAAACAAAGAAGAAAAUUUGUGCACAGGAGCCAAUAUUUGUUGGUUUUUUUUCUUUAAGGAAGACCCUCUGCUGCAACAACAUGGAGAGGGUUCCAGUUAGGGAAUUGAGACUGGUUCAUUUUUUUAAUGCAUACAGAUUGUGACUGGGGUCUGCUCCAGCACUUCUGCCAUGGCCAAUGGAUCCAUACAUGUGCAUUUUUUUACCUUCCUUUUUAUCUGCAGUGCAGGUUUCCAUUACACAUUCUGCACUUGUUUCAUAUACACACAAUUCCUGUAGAAAUCAAUGGAAGUCCUAUGUGCAGAAAAGCCACAGAAAGUGCAACAGAGAUUUGCACCAUGGAUUAAGAGAUUUUCAGUGCUGAUCAAAGAAGAAUUUUGUCCGAGGUUUGUAAAGCACUUUUGAAUCCUUCUUGAUGAAAGGCGCUAUAAAAAUGUAAAGCUGCUGUUGUUGUUAAUGUUCCCUUGGCACACAACAGGAGGAAAGAUGCUGAAAUUAAAGCCACAUAUAUUAAUAUUGAUUAAGAAAUAAGCAAAUUCUUCUAGAAUUUGAUCUGCCUUUCAUUAUGUGCACUUGAUCUUCCAUUUUCAAACAGGGCAUAGUUAUGUCCUGGAAAAUCACAGCCUUGAACUCCACCAAACCAGAACUACAGAUUAUAUAUUAUUAUAUAUAAUUUUGGAAAUCUGUCUGGAAUACACCAUAAAGCAGGAAUAAAAGAAAAACUGUAAGGACAUUUGUAUUUGUCAGUGUCUCCCCAGACAGCGCCCCGAGGAUAUGAUAUUCUUAGAAUAAAGCUUUCAUUUCACAGUGCAUCAGUGGGAAAAUUAACAAGCUCUCCUCGUGCUGUUCCAUAAUUCAUUUUCUUUGUUUUAGAUAUUGAGCUGAGCUGGUACAGUAACUUAAAUAGA